rnacentral:rRNA from 1 species
AUUAACAAAUCUAUAAAGUGUGGCGGUCCUUGUGUCCGCUUGCACACAUUAGCCCUAUAGCGAUCGACCAGGUAUUACUUGGACUGAUUGCUAUGGUGUUGUGGUGGGGAUUGAAGUCGGAGACGACUUUGAUCUGUGCCAUAUAUUAACGCUUGAUUGUUUGACAGAUUUAUUGUGACAAUAAUAAUGACAACUUUUAACAAUGGAUCUCUUGGCUCUUGCAACGAUGAAGAACGCAGUGAAGUGCGAAAAGUAAUGCGAUUUGCAUGAAUCUGUGAGUCAUCAAGUCUUUGAACGCAUCUUGCACCAUAUGAGCAAUUGUAUGGUAUACCUGUUUGAGAAUCGUAAAGACCCACUUCCUCUCGGUUGAGAGGAGAAUUGUCGGUUGUCGGCAUAUAAUGUGUUGACUCUGAUUAAAAGCAGAAGGUCUGUGACCAAGCUAGUGGCUUGGGACAUUGUGUGCUAGAGACGCGGUUGAGUUCGCUCGACAUGCAAGUCUUCUCACAAUGCGUCCUAAGCCCUUUGAAAAGCUGGCUUGGUUACGGCCUACACAGUGCUAUUUCGAUAGUACAACUUUACCCUCUUUGAUCUCAAAUCAGGUAAGGCUACCCGCUGAACUUAAGCAUAUCAAUAAGCGGAG